rnacentral:rRNA from 1 species
UACUGCUAGGUAAUAGUAAAGGUAAAGAAAGUCUAGGCGCUGUACCUUUUGUAUCAGGGGAGCUUAAAGAGUGGGGUAGUGAAUUAUCGAGUAGCAUGGAACUUUUUAUUUAGGGUUUAGUGGGAUUUACAUCUGUAAAGUAUUAUGGGGUGACAAGCGUGCGGCAUGUUUGGUAUCUAUUUGCUUUUUAAAAAAAAAAAGAAAAGGUUAAGCUUUUCUUGGUCUAUGCAAAGCCAGUUAAGGUAAGAAAACAAGGCUUUAAAUUAGCUGGGCCUCUAAAUUGUUUUAAAUAAUCUUUUAAACAAGGGUACAAUUAGAUUUAACUAGUUAGCUAGGAUUACAAAAGUCUAGGGUAAUAAUGAGUUUAUUGAAUAUUAUACGAAGACUUAAAGUAACUCGGGUUAAGCUAGAAGGUUUAGCAAAAACAUUUUUAUUUGAAGAAAGGUAGUAGGGCCUGCCCAGUGGGUUAAACGGCGGCGGUAUAUUGACUGUGCUAAGGUAGCAUAAUCAUUUGUUUCUUAAUUGGUAACUGGAAUGAACGGUUGAACUGGCUUAGGGGGUGUGUAAGUCUAAACAGAAAAUUAAAGUCGGGGUAAGAAUUCUUCGAUAGUUUAGGGGACGAUAAGACCCUAUAAGCUUGACAAAAAUAGAAAUGACUUUGUGUUUCAAGUUAGUUUGUUUUACUGGGGCGGUACUGGUAUUUUAACUAUUAGGUGAGCUAGGAUCCUUUAUAUAUAGAUGAAAUGGGGAAGUUACUUUAGGGAUAACAGUGCAAUAUUUUUGGAGAGAUCUUAUCGAUAGGUAUGUUUGCAACCUCGAUGUUGAAUUAAAAUUUCUACGUGAGGCAGAAAGUAUAGUAGAGGGUUUGUUCAACCUUUAAAUUUUUACAUGAUUUGAGUUCAAAUCGGUGUAAGCCAGAUUGGAUUUUAUCUCUAAAUAAUUUUAGGGCCUUUCUAGUACGAAAGGGUUGAUUGGAGUUUGUUAUC